rnacentral:rRNA from 1 species
AUGAGGUACGCGUGCGGCGAUCUGGUGAUCGGCACCGCCUGCCAUCACCAGGUGGCCGACGGUCAGUCCAUGAGCGUCUUCUACACCGUGUGGGCCAGCACCGUCCGCACCGACUCGGCAGUCCUCAUGUCGCCGUUCGUCGAUCGCUCGGCCACCGUUGUCCCCCGAAGCCCGCCGACGUCGGCGUAUGAUCACCGGAAUAUCGAGUUCAAGGGCGAGCGCAGCUCCAGUCACUCCUAUGGUGUCCUCCCCAUGGACAGGAUCAAGAACCUGGUCGUGCACUUCCCGGCCGAGUUCGUCGCCAACCUCAAGGCCCGUGUGGGCACGCGCUCCAGCACGUUCCAGUGCCUCCUUGCGCACGCGUGGAAGAAGAUCACGGUGGUGUGGGAUCUGGCGCUGGAUGAUUUCACGCAGGUGAGGGUCGUCGUCAACUGCCGCGGCCGCGCAAAGCCUCCCGUGCCCAUGGACUUCUUCGGGAACAUGGUGCUCUGGGCGUUCCCGAGGAUAUAG